rnacentral:rRNA from 1 species
UACAGAGGGGGCAAGCGUUGUUCGGAAUUACUGGGCGUAAAGGGCGCGUAGGCGGCCUGUUAAGUCGAACGUGAAAUCCCCGGGCUCAACCCGGGAACUGCGUCCGAUACUGGCAGGCUUGAAUUCGGGAGAGGGAUGCGGAAUUCCAGGUGUAGCGGUGAAAUGCGUAGAUAUCUGGAGGAACACCGGGUGGCGAAGGCGGCAUCCUGGACCGAGAUUGACGCUGAGGCGCGAAAGCCAGGGGAGGCAAACGGG